CAGUCGCCGCGGUAAUACGUAGGGUGCAAGCGUUAAUCGGAAUUACUGGGCGUAAAGCGUGCGCAGGCGGUUUGUUAAGACAGAUGUGAAAUCCCCGGGCUCAACCUGGGAACUGCAUUUGUGACUGGCAAGCUAGAGUGUGGCAGAGGGGGGUGGAAUUCCGCGUGUAGCAGUGAAAUGCGCAGAUAUGCGGAGGAACACCGAUGGCGAAGGCAGCCCCCUGGGCCAACACUGACGCUCAUGCACGAAAGCGUGGAGAGCAAACAGGAUUAGAUACCCCUGUAGUCCCUGUCUCUUAUAC
rnacentral:rRNA from 1 species